CCUACGGGGUGCUGCAGUGGGGAAUAUUGGACAAUGGGCGAAAGCCUGAUCCAGCCAUGCCGCGUGUGUGAAGAAGGCCUUCGGGUUGUAAAGCACUUUCAGUGGGGAAGAAAGCCUUGGGGCUAAUACCCUCGAGGAAGGACAUCACCCACAGAAGAAGCACCGGCUAACUCCGUGCCAGCAGCCGCGGUAAUACGGAGGGUACGAGCGUUAAUCGGAAUUACUGGGCGUAAAGCGCGCGUAGGCGGUCUGAUAAGCCGGUUGUGAAAGCCCCGGGCUCAACCUGGGAACGGCAUCCGGAACUGUCAGGCUAGAGUGCAGGAGAGGAAGGUAGAAUUCCCGGUGUAGCGGUGAAAUGCGUAGAGAUCGGGAGGAAUACCAGUGGCGAAGGCGGCCUUCUGGACUGACACUGACGCUGAGGUGCGAAAGCGUGGGUAGCAAACAGGAUUAGAUACCCUUGUAGUC
rnacentral:rRNA from 1 species